rnacentral:rRNA from 1 species
AUUGAACGCUGGCGGCAGGCCUAACACAUGCAAGUCGAACGGUAACAGGAAGAAGCUUGCUUCUUUGCUGACGAGUGGCGGACGGGUGAGUAAUGUCUGGGAAACUGCCUGAUGGAGGGGGAUAACUACUGGAAACGGUAGCUAAUACCGCAUAACGUCGCAAGACCAAAGAGGGGGACCUUCGGGCCUCUUGCCAUCGGAUGUGCCCAGAUGGGAUUAGCUAGUAGGUGGGGUAACGGCUCGCCUAGGCGACGAUCCCUAGCUGGUCUGAGAGGAUGACCAGCCACACUGGAACUGAGACACGGUCCAGACUCCUACGGGAGGCAGCAGUGGGGAAUAUUGCACAAUGGGCGCAAGCCUGAUGCAGCCAUGCCGCGUGUAUGAAGAAGGCCUUCGGGUUGUAAAGUACUUUCAGCGGGGAGGAAGGGAGUAAAGUUAAUACCUUUGCUCAUUGACGUUACCCGCAGAAGAAGCACCGGCUAACUCCGUG